GUGCAUUUAAUGUAGUGGUAUCAUAGUACCCUCCCACGGUACUGACUGGGAUUCAAUUCCCUGAAUGCGCA
rfam:Ipomoea nil DNA, scaffold: scaffold0465, cultivar: Tokyo-kokei standard.